AAUGAACGCUGGCGGCAGGCCUAACACAUGCAAGUCGAACGGAUCCUUCGGGAUUAGUGGCGGACGGGUGAGUAACGCGUGGGAACAUACCCAAAGGUACGGAAUAGCCUCGGGAAACAGGGAGUAAUACCGUAUGUGCUCGAAAGAGGAAAGAUUGAUCGCCUUUGGAUUCGCCCGCGUUGGAUUAGGUAGGUGGUGGGGUAAUGGCCUACCAAGCCGUGGAUCCAUAGCUGGUUUCAGAGGAUGAUCAGCCACACUGGGACUGGGACACGGCCCAGACUCCUACGGGAUGCAGCAGUGGGUAAUCUUAGAAAACGGGGUAAACCCUGAUCUAGCCAGGCCGCGUGAUCGAUGAAGGCCUUAGGGUUGUAAAGAUCUUUCAGGUGGGAAGAUAAUGACUGUACCACCAGAAGAAGCCCCGGCUAACUCCGUGCCAGCCGCCGCCGUAA
rnacentral:rRNA from 1 species